rnacentral:rRNA from 1 species
UGGCUCAGAAUGAACGUUGGCGGCGUGGAUUAGGCAUGCAAGUCGAGCGAGAAUCCCCGCAAGGGGAGGAAAGCGGCGAAAGGGAGAGUAAUACGUAGGUACCCUGCCCUCAGGACUGGGAUAGCCACGGGAAACUGUGGGUAAUACCAGAUAACGUCUCCGGACCAAAGGUGAGAUUCCGCCGGAGGAGGGGCCUGCGUCCUAUUAGCUAGUUGGUAAGGUAACGGCCUACCAAGGCAAUGAUGGGUAUGGGGUGUGAGAGCAUGACCCCACUACAUUGGGACUUGUAGACACUGCCCAGACACCUACGGGUGGCUGCAGUCGAGGAUCUUCGGCAAUGGGCGCAAGCCUGACCGAGCGAACCGUCCACGUGCGGGAUGAAGGCCUUCGGGUUGUAAACCGCUGUCAGAGGGGAGGAAAUUCCGUGGGGUUCUCCCCACGGUUUGUACCUAUCUUCAGAGGAAGUACGGGCUAAGUUCGUGCCAGCCGCGGC